UACGUAGGGUCCGAGCGUUGUCCGGAAUUACUGGGCGUAAAGAGCUCGUAGGCGGCUUGUCACGUCGGGUGUGAAAGCCCGGGGCUUAACCCCGGAAUUGCACCUCAAACUACUCGGCUAGAGCAUUGGAGAGGGUAGCAGAAUUCAUGGUGUAGCAGUGAAAUGCGUAGAUAUCAUGAGGAAUACCAGAGGCGAAGGCGGCUACCUGGACAAUUGCUGACGCUCAGGCACGAAAGCGUGGGGAGCAAAAGGG
rnacentral:rRNA from 1 species